GACGAACGCUGGCGGCGUGCUUAACACAUGCAAGUCGAACGCUGAAGACCUGGCUUUUGUUGGGUUGGAUGAGUGGCGAACGGGUGAGUAACACGUGAGUAACCUGCCCUCUUCUUUGGGAUAACGCCCGGAAACGGGUGCUAAUACUGGAUAUUCACUGGCCUUCGCAUGGGGGUUGGUGGAAAGGUUUGUUCUGGUGGGGGAUGGGCUCGCGGCCUAUCAGCUUGUUGGUGGGGUGAUGGCCUACCAAGGCUUUGACGGGUAGCCGGCCUGAGAGGGUGACCGGUCACAUUGGGACUGAGAUACGGCCCAGACUCCUACGGGAGGCAGCAGUGGGGAAUAUUGCACAAUGGGCGGAAGCCUGAUGCAGCGACGCCGCGUGAGGGAUGGAGGCCUUCGGGUUGUAAACCUCUUUCGCUCAUGGUCAAGCCGCAACUGUGGGUUGUGGUGAGGGUAGUGGGUAAAGAAGCGCCGGCUAACUACGUGCCAGCAGCCGCGGUAAUACGUAGGGCGCGAGCGUUGUCCGGAAUUAUUGGGCGUAAAGGGCUUGUAGGCGGUUGGUCGCGUCUGCCGUGAAAUCCUCUGGCUUAACUGGGGGCGUGCGGUGGGUACGGGCUGACUUGAGUGCGGUAGNGGAGACUGGAACUCCUGGUGUAGCGGUGGAAUGCGCAGAUAUCAGGAAGAACACCGGUGGCNAANGCGGGUCUNNNNNNCCGUUACUGACGNUUCAGGAACGAAANCCUUGGGGAGCGAACNNGG
rnacentral:rRNA from 1 species